UAAGACUUGUGAAAUAUUAAUUCACAUCUCUUGAAUGCAACUCAAAUACUUUUAUUAAGCUAAAGCCUUU
rnacentral:tRNA from 1 species